GUCCAGGUAGCUGCCUUCGCCAUGGAUGUUCCUCCUGAUCUCUACGCAUUUCACUGCUACACCAGGAAUUCCGCUACCCUCUACCACACUCUAGUCGCCCAGUAUCCACUGCAGUUCCCAGGUUGAGCCCAGGGCUUUCACAACGGACUUAAACGACCACCUACGCACGCUUUACGCCCAGUAAUUCCGAGUAACGCUUGCACCCUUCGUAUUACCGCGGCUGCUGGCACGAAGUUAGCCGGUGCUUAUUCUUUGGGUACCGUCAUCCCAACCGGGUAUUAGCCAGCUGGAUUUCUUUCCCAACAAAAGGGCUUUACAACCCGAAGGCCUUCUUCACCCACGCGGUAUGGCUGGAUCAGGCUUGCGCCCAUUGUCCAAUAUUCCCCACUGCUGCCUCCCGUAGGAGUCUGGACCGUGUCUCAGUUCCAGUGUGGCUGAUCAUCCUCUCAGACCAGCUACGGAUCGUCGCCUUGGUGGGCCUUUACCCCGCCAACUAGCUAAUCCGACAUCGGCUCAUUCAAUCGCGCAAGGUCCGAAGAUCCCCUGCUUUCACCCGUAGGUCGUAUGCGGUAUUAGCGUAAGUUUCCCUACGUUAUCCCCCACGACAGAGUAGAUUCCGAUGUAUUCCUCACCCGUCCGCCACUCGCCACCCAGAGAGCAAGCUCUCCUGUGCUGCCGUUCGACUUGCAUGUGUUAGGC
rnacentral:rRNA from 1 species